CGAAAGCCUGACGGAGCAAGACCGCGUGGGGGAAGAAGGCUCUUGGGUUGUAAACCCCUUUUCUCUGGGAAGAAAGUUGUGAAAGCAACCUGACGGUACCAGAGGAAUCAGCAUCGGCUAACUCCGUGCCAGCAGCCGCGGUAAGACGGAGGAUGCAAGCGUUAUCCGGAAUGAUUGGGCGUAAAGCGUCCGCAGGUGGCAGUUCAAGUCUGCUGCCAAAGACCGGGGCUCAACCCUGGAAAGGCCGUGGAAACUGGUGAGCUAGAGUGCGGUAGGGGCAGAGGGAAUUCCUGGUGUAGCGGUGAAAUGCGUAGAUAUCAGGAAGAACACCGGUGGCGAAAGCGCUCUGCUGGGCCGUAACUGACACUCAUGGACGAAAGCUAGGGGAGCG
rnacentral:rRNA from 1 species